rnacentral:tRNA from 1 species
AUAAAGUAAGCUAAUAUAAGCUAGUGGGUUCAUACCCCAAAUAUGAAUAUGUUUCCUUUAUU